UACGGAGGAUCCGAGCGUUAUCCGGAUUUAUUGGGUUUAAAGAGUGCGCAGGCGGGAGAUUAAGUCGGCGGUGAAAUUUUGCAGCUCAACUGUAAAAGUGCCUUCGAAACCGGUUUCCUUGAGUGUGGAUGAAGUAGGCGGAAUUUGUGGUGUAGCGGUGAAAUGCAUAGAUAUCACGAGGAACUCCGAUUGCGCAGGCAGCUUACUAAACUACUACUGACGCUCAGGCACGAAGGCGUGGGGAGCAAACAGGAUUAGAUACCCGCGUAGU
rnacentral:rRNA from 1 species